GUUGGUUUUGGAAACAUGUUCGUUUCUGAAUUAAAAGGGAAUUCCGUGAAUCUGAAUCUUCAGCAAAAUCGGAAGCUGUUCCCGCAACUGUAAUCCUUUUCGGCAAUAGCCGAAACCGCAGCCUCACCUUUGCCACUGAUCAAAAAGGAUCGGGAAGGCGCUGCACAAGGAAAGCCAGGAGACCUGCCAAUACGUA
rnacentral:ncRNA from 1 species